CCUGGCUCAGAUUGAACGCUGGCGGCAUGCCUAACACAUGCAAGUCGAACGGCAGCACGGUCUAGUUUACUAGAUGGGUGGCGAGUGGCGGACGGGUGAGUAAUGCGCAGGAAUAUGCCUUAAAGUGGGGGACAACUUGGGGAAACUCAAGCUAAUACCGCGUAAUCUCUUUGGAGAAAAGCUGGGGACCUUCGGGCCUGGCGCUUUAAGAUUAGCCU
rnacentral:rRNA from 1 species